GCUCAAUGAUGAUAUAAAGGCUAAUGUGACUCGACCAGCUGGGUUGCCCCCUCAGCCCAUUCCAGUAAUACAGGUCUGUAAUCUUGGUGGACAAUGCAGAGCUGUGCGUGUUCGCUGUAAGGGCAGGCCGACAGAAAAUCCCCUUCCCUGCGUCCCUGGAAAGUACAUCUCAGGGGUGCCUCAGCUCUGAGUGAGUGUUUCUAUGAGCUGACAGGGGGCUGUGGGAAUAGGAUAAGACAGCGUUCCCAAGGUUUGGGUUGCGGCGGGCAGCCCAUAUUACAGCUGGUGAGAAGUGAGCACACGUCUUUGGUAAUCUGAUGACU
ensembl:snoRNA small Cajal body-specific RNA 10